ACGGGUGAGUAACGCGUGGGAAUCUACCGAGCCCAGCGGAAUAGCUCCGGGAAACUGGAAUUAAUACCGCAUACGCCCUACGGGGGAAAGAUUUAUCGGGGUUUGAUGAGCCCGCGUUGGAUUAGCUAGUUGGUGGGGUAAAGGCCUACCAAGGCGACGAUCCAUAGCUGGUCUGAGAGGAUGAUCAGCCACAUUGGGACUGAGACACGGCCCAAACUCCUACGGGAGGCAGCAGUGGGGAAUAUUGGACAAUGGGCGCAAGCCUGAUCCAGCCAUGCCGCGUGAGUGAUGAAGGCCCUAGGGUUGUAAAGCUCUUUCAACGGUGAAGAUAAUGACGGUAACCGUAGAAGAAGCCCCGGCUAACUUCGUGCCAGCAGCCGCGGUAAUACGAAGGGGGCUAGCGUUGUUCGGAAUUACUGGGCGUAAAGCGCACGUAGGCGGAUAUUUAAGUCAGGGGUGAAAUCCCGGGGCUCAACCUCGGAACUGCCUUUGAUACUGGGUAUCUUGAGUAUGGAAGAGGUAAGUGGAAUUGCGAGUGUAGAGGUGAAAUUCGUAGA
rnacentral:rRNA from 1 species